CAGUAGCCACGGGAAUACGUAGGGUGCGAGCGUUAAUCGGAAUUACUGGGCGUAAAGCGUGCGCAGGCGGUUUUGUAAGACAGGCGUGAAAUCCCCGGGCUCAACCUGGGAACGGCGCUUGUGACUGCAAAGCUAGAGUGCGGCAGAGGGGGAUGGAAUUCCGCGUGUAGCAGUGAAAUGCGUAGAUAUGCGGAGGAACACCGAUGGCGAAGGCAAUCCCCUGGGCCUGCACUGACGCUCAUGCACGAAAGCGUGGGGAGCAAACAGGAUUAGAUACCCCCGUAGUCCCUGUCUCUUAUAA
rnacentral:rRNA from 1 species